GACGAACGCUGGCGGCGUGCCUAAUACAUGCAAGUUGAGCGCUGAAGGUUGGUACUUGUACCAACUGGAUGAGCAGCGAACGGGUGAGUAACGCGUGGGGAAUCUGCCUUUGAGCGGGGGACAACAUUUGGAAACGAAUGCUAAUACCGCAUAAAAACUUUAAACACAAGUUUUAAGUUUGAAAGAUGCAAUUGCAUCACUCAAAGAUGAUCCCGCGUUGUAUUAGCUAGUUGGUGAGGUAAAGGCUCACCAAGGCGAUGAUACAUAGCCGACCUGAGAGGGUGAUCGGCCACAUUGGGACUGAGACACGGCCCAAACUCCUACGGGAGGCAGCAGUAGGGAAUCUUCGGCAAUGGACGAAAGUCUGACCGAGCAACGCCGCGUGAGUGAGGAAGGUUUUCGGAUCGUAAAACUCUGUUGGUAGAGAAGAACGUUGGUGAGAGUGGAAAGCUCAUCAAGUGACGGUAACUACCCAGAAAGGGACGGCUAACUACGU
rnacentral:rRNA from 1 species